rnacentral:rRNA from 1 species
AGUGAACGCUGGCGGUAGGCCUAACACAUGCAAGUCGAACGGCAGCACAGUAAGAGCUUGCUCUUACGGGUGGCGAGUGGCGGACGGGUGAGGAAUACAUCGGCAUCUACUUUUUCGUGGGGGAUAACGUGGGGAAACUUCCGAUAAUACCGAAUAUGUCUAACGGGUGAAAGCAGGGGUUCUUGGGACUUUGGCUGUUUGAUGGAGCCGUUGUCGGAUUAGCUAGUUGGCGGGGUAAGGGCCCACCAAGGCGACGAUCCGUAGCUGGUCUGAGAGGAUGAUCAGCCACACUGGAACUGAGACACGGUCCAGACUCCUACGGGAGGCAGCAGUGGGGAAUAUUGGACAAUGGGCGCAAGCCUGAUCCAGCCAUACCGCGUGGGUGAAGAAGGCCUUCGGGUUGUAAAGCCCUUUUGUUGGGAAAGAAAAGCAGCAGGUUAAUACCCCGCUGUUCUGACGGUACCCAAAGAAUAAGCACCGGCUAACUUCGUG